CGCUUUGCGCAGCGGCAGUAUCCUAGCCAAUGAGGUUCAUCUUAGGCACAAUUAUUGCUAAUUGAAAACUUAAAGAACCACAUAUAUUUAGGUACAACGUAUUCCUAGCUUUUCGUUCUUCUCAAACACUCUUUCCAUGUUAACCUUGUCUAUGCAGCCUUUUGUCAGACAAUAAUGUGAACUUUUGCUGUAGUCCAAUAC
rnacentral:snRNA from 1 species